AGCUAGUUGGUAAGGUAACGGCUUACCAAGGCAAUGAUGCAUAGCCGAGUUGAGAGACUGAUCGGCCACAUUGGGACUGAGACACGGCCCAAACUCCUACGGGAGGCAGCAGUAGGGAAUCUUCCACAAUGGACGAAAGUCUGAUGGAGCAACGCCGCGUGAGUGAAGAAGGGUUUCGGCUCGUAAAGCUCUGUUGGUAGUGAAGAAAGAUAGAGGUAGUAACUGGCCUUUAUUUGACGGUAAUUACUUAGAAAGUCACGGCUAACUACGUGCCAGCAGCCGCGGUAAUACGUAGGUGGCAAGCGUUGUCCGGAUUUAUUGGGCGUAAAGCGAGUGCAGGCGGUUCAAUAAGUCUGAUGUGAAAGCCUUCGGCUCAACCGGAGAAUUGCAUCAGAAACUGUUGAACUUGAGUGCAGAAGAGGAGAGUGGAACUCCAUGUGUAGCGGUGGAAUGCGUAGAUAUAUGGAAGAACACCAGUGGCGAAGGCGGCUCUCUGGUCUGCAACUGACGCUGAGGCUCGAAAGCAUGGGUAGCGAACAGGAUUAGAUACCCUGGUAGUCCAUGCCGUAAACGAUGAGUGCUAAGUGUUGGGAGGUUUCCGCCUCUCAGUGCUGCAGCUAACG
rnacentral:rRNA from 1 species